UAGGGAAUCUUCGGCAAUGGGGGCGAACCCUGACCGAGCAACGCCGCGUGAGUGAAGAAGGUUUUCGGAUCGUAAAGCUCUGUUGUAAGAGAAGAACGUGUGUGAGAGUGGAAAGUUCACACAGUGACGGUAACUUACCAGAAAGGGACGGCUAACUACGUGCCCG
rnacentral:rRNA from 1 species